rnacentral:rRNA from 1 species
AUGUUUAUAAAGUUUGAAGAUUUUGAUGAUUCAAUUUAUAGACCUGAAAAUUUUGCUAUCCUUAAAUAUUGCCAUGAUAACUACAAAUACAAUUCCGAUAUGUUUAUCGAGAAAGUCUCCGCUGUCCAAGAAGAGACUAAUAUUUUGCAGGAGUCUAUGGAAGAAGGAAUUGAUGAAAUUGUGAGCUCAUUGGAUGAAAAAGAUGAUGAGGAGAGCAAAGAACAAAAGGAGGACGAGCGGAUUAGCUACCCGUACCCACCUUCUAAUGAGAGUAACUCUUCAACUCAUACAUUGUUUAAUGUCCCUUCGUUCUUACCAAAGGAUGAAUGCUAUGAUAAUUGCUAUGAUCCCAUUGAUUCGUUUGAAAUAUUCCUUUUUGAUGAACUUGAUGCUUGUGGCCAAGAUGCCAAUAUGAAUUAUGCUUAUGGAGAUGAAUUUUCUAUUGUUUAUUAUGUUAAGAAUGAAAUUGUUGCUAUUGCACCCACUCAUGAUAGUCCUAUUAUCUUUUUGAAUUCUCCAAACUACACUAUAUCGAAGAAGUUUGUUCUUAUUAAGGUUGCACAUGAUAACUUUGAUGAAUAUAAUAUGCAUGUGCUUGCUACUCCUACUUGCAAUUAUUAUGAGAGGAACUACAUCUCCACCUAUUUAUGUUUCCAACACGAUGAAAUUGCAAGAAACUACUUAUACUAUGUAUUGGCCUUUACUUGA